CCUGCGGGUUAGUAAAGACAAUUUAGUUGGGAAGGAAAAGUUACAGGGCUAAUAUCCUUGGAUCUUGACCUAACCCACAGAAAAAGCACCGGCUAACUCUGUGC
rnacentral:rRNA from 1 species